CACCUGGUUGAUCCUGCCAGUAGUCAUAUGCUUGUCUCAAAGAUUAAGCCAUGCAUGUCUAAGUAUAAGCUUUAAACGGCGAAACUGCGAAUGGCUCAUUAAAACAGUUAUAGUUUAUUUGGUGAUCGAUUACUAUUUGGAUAACCGUAGUAAUUCUAGAGCUAAUACAUGCGUCAAGGCCCGACUUCGGAAGGGCUGCGUUUAUUAGAUACAGAACCAACCUAGGCUCCGCCUAGUCCUUGUUGGUGAUUCAUAAUAACCCGGCGAAUCGCACGGCUUGUCCGGCGAUGGACCAUUCAAGUUUCUGACCUAUCAGCUAUGGACGGUAGGGUAUUGGCCUACCGUGGCGUUGACGGGUAACGGGGAAUUAGGGUUCGAUUCCGGAGAGGGAGCCUGAGAAACGGCUACCACAUCUAAGGAAGGCAGCAGGCGCGCAAAUUACCCAAUCCUGAUACAGGGAGGUAGUGACAAGAAAUAACAAUACAGGGCAAUUCUGUCUUGUAAUUGGAAUGAGUAGAUUUUAAAUCUCUUUACGAGUAUCAAUUGGAGGGCAAGUCUGGUGCCAGCAGCCGCGGUAAUUCCAGCUCCAAUAGCGUAUAUUAAAGUUGUUGCGGUUAAAAAGCUCGUAGUUGGAUUUCUGCCUUGGGCGACCGAUCCACCUUUCCUACGGGAUUGGUCGGUAUCAGGUUUGACCUUGGCUUUUUCUUGGGAUUCGUGCUCACGUACUUAACUGUGCGUUGACCGUGUUCCAAGACUUUUACUUUGAGGAAAUUAGAGUGUUUCAGCAGGCUUAUGCCCAUGAUACAUUAGCAUGGAAUAAUAGGAUAUGACUUCGGUCAUA
rnacentral:ncRNA from 1 species